rfam:Clostridium sp. JC272 contig155, whole genome shotgun sequence.
UUUAAAUAUAGAGGCUAUGAAAUAUGUUUUGUAUAUGGGCACUUGAAACAUAUGGAGCUAAUAGUGCAACCGGCUAUUUAAAGA